rnacentral:misc_RNA from 1 species
GUGCGCGCCGACUAGGAGGCAGCUGCUAGCCUGACCUGCCGAGGUGCUGAGGUGGCCGCGAGACAGGGCUGAUGAAGCCUCAGGACAGUCAGAG